rnacentral:rRNA from 1 species
GGGUUGUGAGGUUAAGCGACUAAGCGUACACGGUGGAUGCCCUGGCAGUCAGAGGCGAUGAAGGGCGUGCUAAUCUGCGAUAAGCGCCGGUAAGGUGAUAUGAACCGUUAUAACCGGCGAUACCCGAAUGGGGAAACCCAGUGUGACUCGUCACACUAUCAUUAACUGAAUCCAUAGGUUAAUGAGGCGAACCGGGGGAACUGAAACAUCUAAGUACCCCGAGGAAAAGAAAUCAACCGAGAUUCCCCCAGUAGCGGCGAGCGAACGGGGAGGAGCCCAGAGCCUGAAUCAGCAUGUGUGUUAGUGGAAGCGUCUGGAAAGGCGCGCGAUACAGGGUGACAGCCCCGUACACAAAAGCGCAUGUGCUGUGAGCUCGAUGAGUAGGGCGGGACACGUGGUAUCCUGUCUGAAUAUGGGGGGACCAUCCUCCAAGGCUAAAUACUCCUGACUGACCGAUAGUGAACCAGUACCGUGAGGGAAAGGCGAAAAGAACCCCGGCGAGGGGAGUGAAAAAGAACCUGAAACCGUGUACGUACAAGCAGUGGGAGCCCCACCACUAAGCCAGUGGUGAACUCCACAUACGCAUCCUUUGCUGAGGAUACGGUUAACGGAGCGAAAGCGACGUUCAACCUCAAAAGAAGCAGAGGGGGCUUAGUGGUGGGGUGACUGCGUACCUUUUGUAUAAUGGGUCAGCGACUUAUAUUCUGUAGCAAGGUUAACCGAAUAGGGGAGCCGGAGGGAAACCGAGUCUUAAUUGGGCGUUAAGUUGCAGGGUAUAGACCCGAAACCCGGUGAUCUAGCCAUGGGCAGGUUGAAGGUUGGGUAACACUAACUGGAGGACCGAACCGACUAAUGUUGAAAAAUUAGCGGAUGACCUGUGGCUGGGGGUGAAAGGCCAAUCAAACCGGGAGAUAGCUGGUUCUCCCCGAAAGCUAUUUAGGUAGCGCCUCGUGAAUUCAUCUCCGGGGGUAGAGCACUGUUUCGGCUAGGGGGCCAUCCCGGCUUACCAACCCGAUGCAAACUGCGAAUACCGGAGAAUGUUAUCACGGGAGACACACGGCGGGUGCUAACGUCCGUCGUGAAGAGGGAAACAACCCAGACCGCCAGCUAAGGUCCCAAAGUCAUGGUUAAGUGGGAAACGAUGUGGGAAGGCCCAGACAGCCAGGAUGUUGGCUUAGAAGCAGCCAUCAUUUAAAGAAAGCGUAAUAGCUCACUGGUCGAGUCGGCCUGCGCGGAAGAUGUAACGGGGCUAAACCAUGCACCGAAGCUGCGGCAGCGACGCUGAUGCGUUGUUGGGUAGGGGAGCGUUCUGUAAGCCUGCGAAGGUGGCCUGUGAGGGUUGCUGGAGGUAUCAGAAGUGCGAAUGCUGACAUAAGUAACGAUAAAGCGGGUGAAAAGCCCGCUCGCCGGAAGACCAAGGGUUCCUGUCCAACGUUAAUCGGGGCAGGGUGAGUCGACCCCUAAGGCGAGGCCGAAAGGCGUAGUCGAUGGGAAACGGGUUAAUAUUCCCGUACUUGGUGUUACUGCGAAGGGGGGACGGAGAAGGCUAUGUUGGCCGGGCGACGGUUGUCCCGGUUUAAGCGUGUAGGUGUGUGUUCCAGGUAAAUCCGGUUCACUUUAACACUGAGGCGUGAUGACGAGGCACUACGGUGCUGAAGCAACAAAUGCCCUGCUUCCAGGAAAAGCCUCUAAGCAUCAGGUAACAUCAAAUCGUACCCCAAACCGACACAGGUGGUCAGGUAGAGAAUACCAAGGCGCUUGAGAGAACUCGGGUGAAGGAACUAGGCAAAAUGGUGCCGUAACUUCGGGAGAAGGCACGCUGACACGUAGGUGAAGUGAUUUACUCAUGGAGCUGAAGUCAGUCGAAGAUACCAGCUGGCUGCAACUGUUUAUUAAAAACACAGCACUGUGCAAACACGAAAGUGGACGUAUACGGUGUGACGCCUGCCCGGUGCCGGAAGGUUAAUUGAUGGGGUCAGCGCAAGCGAAGCUCCUGAUCGAAGCCCCGGUAAACGGCGGCCGUAACUAUAACGGUCCUAAGGUAGCGAAAUUCCUUGUCGGGUAAGUUCCGACCUGCACGAAUGGCGUAAUGAUGGCCAGGCUGUCUCCACCCGAGACUCAGUGAAAUUGAACUCGCUGUGAAGAUGCAGUGUACCCGCGGCAAGACGGAAAGACCCCGUGAACCUUUACUAUAGCUUGACACUGAACAUUGAGCCUUGAUGUGUAGGAUAGGUGGGAGGCUUUGAAGUGUGGACGCCAGUCUGCAUGGAGCCGACCUUGAAAUACCACCCUUUAAUGUUUGAUGUUCUAACGUGGACCCGUUACCCGGGUUGCGGACAGUGUCUGGUGGGUAGUUUGACUGGGGCGGUCUCCUCCUAAAGAGUAACGGAGGAGCACGAAGGUUGGCUAAUCCUGGUCGGACAUCAGGAGGUUAGUGCAAUGGCAUAAGCCAGCUUGACUGCGAGCGUGACGGCGCGAGCAGGUGCGAAAGCAGGUCAUAGUGAUCCGGUGGUUCUGAAUGGAAGGGCCAUCGCUCAACGGAUAAAAGGUACUCCGGGGAUAACAGGCUGAUACCGCCCAAGAGUUCAUAUCGACGGCGGUGUUUGGCACCUCGAUGUCGGCUCAUCACAUCCUGGGGCUGAAGUAGGUCCCAAGGGUAUGGCUGUUCGCCAUUUAAAGUGGUACGCGAGCUGGGUUUAGAACGUCGUGAGACAGUUCGGUCCCUAUCUGCCGUGGGCGCUGGAGAACUGAGGGGGGCUGCUCCUAGUACGAGAGGACCGGAGUGGACGCAUCACUGGUGUUCGGGUUGUCAUGCCAAUGGCACUGCCCGGUAGCUAAAUGCGGAAGAGAUAAGUGCUGAAAGCAUCUAAGCACGAAACUUGCCCCGAGAUGAGUUCUCCCUGAGACUUUAAGUCUCCUGAAGGAACGUUGAAGACGACGACGUUGAUAGGCCGGGUGUGUAAGCGCAGCGAUGCGUUGAGCUAACCGGUACUAAUGAACCGUGAGGCUUAACCUUACAACGCCGAAG